GCGAGGCGGCCUGUAGGGGAACGGGCCGGCCUGUCUGGGGGAGAGUCCCGGGCGAGGACGAGGGGAGACCGGGGUGUCGGCGUCCGGCGUCCAGGAACCCGGCACGGUGUGGCCCGUGGAAGGACGAGGAGACCGACGCGGCGGGGGAGCGGGAAGGAGAGGCAGGGGUCUUGGACUCUGCGGCUUGCUAACGGCUAGAAAUCGGGUGGUGGGGAGGGCGGAGUGCGAGGAGAUGGCCACGUGCAGACUAGUGCCCCCGGCGGGUCCGUGACAGAAGGGAGGAGGGGAAAGGCUGCCGUAUUCGGGCCAGGGGUCAAACCUCUGGCUCAGAGAAAGGCAAGGUCGUAAAUGGGGAGAAGGGAAUGCAGUGCUGAGGGUCCCCUAGGUCCUGGGGUCCCUUGACACCGACCUUCUUUUGAGCCAACUCCUGCAGCCCUCUGGCCCCUCGGUCGGGUUCCAGCAGGCCUGGGGUCAUAUGAAACGAUGGGAGAGACCAGGAUAUUUCGUGUUGCCAGAUUUGCGUUUGAAUAAGCAAAGCUGGAAGGGAGGGAGGGAGUCUGGACAUACUGAAAAAAGAUCAGAGGUCCGUGGAUAGGGUGGGGGGAGGUGCACACUUUGAGGACAGGGAGAGGGGGGACUGUGGAGGAGGAGCAGCUUUCGCAGGAUGCAGGAGCCCAGCAUGCCAGAGCCCAGCGGGUGAUCAGGGCAGGGGCCAAAUUGGGAGGAAGGAGCAGGAUCCUAACGAGGGGGAGGUCAAGGGGCUGGGAGGCAUGGAGGGUGGCGGCAGAAUUUGGGGAGGAUGGAAAGCCAGUGAUGCAGGGCCGGCUGAGGGCACCAGGGCCUCAGAGGAGGAGGGUAGAGGAAGGGAUCCAGGCAUCGUGUCCUUCGUUAGGCCACCCCCUACCUUGGCCACCAGAGGGAGUUUUCUAAAAUUGAGUAUGGCCCAUCCUUGCUUGAAAUUGUAGCUCCUGAAUGUGAUCUGCGUUGAGGAGGGCCCCCUGGUGGGUUCCUGCCCACACUGGUCCUCACAUCAGCCUCAUCUGCCACCUGCUCCAGGUGCACAGGAGAAAACAGGGAGCCAAAAAUUGCCAUCAUCAAGGAUUAUGGGAGGCUAGUAAAGCCUGGCUGUCAGAGCUGUGGCUUCACUAAGGAGCACUAGUGGGUGCUUCCCCUUGGAUUAGGAAGGGGCACCCAUUCCUGCACUCGCCAGUCAAGUUUACAACAGUCAUCCCAUGAAAAGCAUCUCCCAGAGCACCAGCAAGGGACUGGAAAACUCUUCUCAGAAGUCUGACCAGCCCUAAAACAUAAAAAAAACCCUCCAGAUUGCCCAGCAGUCGAUCUUGGCAUCAACAAGCCCCACCAUGUACUCAAGAAAUUUCCCACCACCUUGAAUCUGCCUGGACAGCCCAAGGUCAUGUGGCAAAGUCAAAACAGAAACCAACGAAGAUAACCAAACAAAACUAUCUUGAAAGAAACAGAGACUAUGUGAAAAAGGAAAUUCUGAAAGGAAUAAUAUAUUGCCGGCUUCAGACAGAAUGAAAAAGUAUCACAUCCUUGAAGUCAUCAAAAACAUAUUUAGCACGCCUAUAUGUCCUUACUCUCUCAGCUGAGAUGGCCUAGAAGCAAUGACACCGCAGCAGCCAAAGCACACCCAGAACCCAGGAACUGUUUUCUAAUGCCAUUCUCCAACAGAAGAAACCAGGGGUCCUAAAUCAACAGUUGCUGAUUCUCAGGCUGGGGCAGGAGAUGUACAAGAGCAUCUUGUGGUACAAGAAAGUAAGGAAGGGGCACCUGGGUGGCUCAGUCGGUUGAGCAUCCGACAUCGGCUCAGGUCAUGAUCUCACAGUUUGUGGGUUCGAGCCCCGCAUCAGACUCUGUGCUGACAGCUUGCUCAGAGCCUGCAGCCGGCUUCAGAUUCUGUGUCUCCUUCUCUCUCUCUGCCCCUCCCCGCUCAUGCUCUGUCUCCUUCUGUCUCUCAAAAAUAAAUAAAUGUUAAAAAUUAAAAAAAAAAAAGAAAGGAAGUGCUUACGAAGUACACACACACACACACACACACACACACACACAAACACACACACAGACACAUGGAAGGGUAUGUCAAAGGGACACAAGAACCAACAGAAAGAGCUCCCAAUGGCCACAGCUGGGACAAUCUGAGCAAUAAACGAAAUAACAGUAUUGUAUUAUAACCCAGCAUAAAAUACAUGUCCAUGAGCCUAUACUAAUGGAUAUAAAUGAUUUAAUAAAUGAAAAAAUAAAUGG